UCCGCGCUCGAAGGAUCGCAUUCAAAGCUCACGCACAGCAGAGGGGCCCACCAGCCUCUUUGCACACCCUCAAGCUUUGGGAGAAAGUCCCCGGACCGCCCUACCUUCCGCCGCACGACGGAAGAACGUCAGGACCUGCCGCGAGGCACCGCCAUAAAAGCACCAACCACUGCGGUUUCUCACCCUUUGCGCCUCCCGCUCUUUCUCCCAGCUCUCGGGCGCCGCGGGUUACUUCCGACCUCGUCGUCGUCUGUAUUCCUUCUCCUCUUGCGGGCGGGGGGUUUCCGGACGGGAAGGGGGGGCCGCCUCACAUCUUCGAUGAGAGAAGAAAAUCGUCCUGGAGGAAUGGAUGAAGACACGAGUCCGUUUCUCCGCCACGGGAUGUCAUUUUCUUCUUCUCCUCUGAAGCCGAGACGCUACCCCCCCCCCCUCCAUCCUCCCCCUCCACCCCAUGGGGCCGCGAAGAGAAGAGACGACGAGGGUAAAUUGGGAGGUGGUCUGCAUGUCUGGGCCAUGCUCGGAGAAGCUACAGAGUGAUUUUUGGAGGUUGCGCCAAUUCGUCACAUGUUCAAAAGUUAUGCGAUUGCUUGGGCCUGGGGCGCGCUCGCGUGCGCCCAAGGCCGAGUAACUCGAUGGGGCUUAUUCUCGAGGCGCGG
rnacentral:RNase_MRP_RNA from 2 species